UACGAAGGGGGCUAGCGUUGCUCGGAAUGACUGGGCGUAAAGGGCGCGUAGGCGGAUGGCACAGUCAGAUGUGAAAUUCCUGGGCUUAACCUGGGGGCUGCAUUUGAUACGUGUGAUCUGGAGUGAGGAAGAGGGUUGUGGAAUUCCCAGUGUAGAGGUGAAAUUCGUAGAUAUUGGGAAGAACACCAGUGGCGAAGGCGGCUCACUGGCUCGUAUCUGACGCUCAGGCGCGAUAGCGUGGGGAUCAAACAGG
rnacentral:rRNA from 1 species